UACGUAGGGCGCAAGCGUUGUCCGGAAUUAUUGGGCGUAAAGAGCUCGUAGGCGGCCUGUCGCGUCCGCUGUGAAAUCCCGGGGCUUAACCCCGGGCGUGCAGUGGAUACGGGCUGGCUAGAGGCAGGCAGGGGAGAACGGAAUUCCCGGUGUAGCGGUGAAAUGCGCAGAUAUCGGGAGGAACACCGGUGGCGAAGGCGGUUCACUGGUCCAUUACUGACGCUGAGAAGCGAAAGCGUGGGGAGCGAACAGG
rnacentral:rRNA from 1 species